rnacentral:rRNA from 1 species
UACGUAGGGUGCGAGCGUUACUCGGAAUUACUGGGCGUAAAGCGUGCGCAGGCGGUUCGUUGUGUCGGCGGUGAAAGCCCCGGGCUUAACCUGGGAAUGGCCGUCGAAACUGGCGAACUGGAGUGUGGCAGAGGGGGGUGGAAUUCCGGGUGGAGCGGUGAAAUGCGUAGAGAUCCGGAGGAACACCGACGGCGCAGGCAGCGUCCUGGCCGCUUGCUGACACUGAGGCACGAAAGCGUGGGGAGCAAACAGG